UUGCUGACAACUCAUAUGGACAGACAGUUCCUCCUGCUAGAAACUAUUUACUUUUAACUAAGUUAACCAACUGAAUCCCAAUAAUAUUUGUAUUUUUUUUAAAUGGAUAAUAGAUAACCAGUCCACUCCCUCAUCUAUGUGAUUAGCAAUAUACUGCAAGUCAUAUAAUUUUGUAGCUAUGUUACUCCUAAUUUGCUUUUAAUCACAAGCCUCAAACAGUCACACUAUGGGGAAGCAACAUUUGCUGCACAGAUCAUAACAUCAUAUAUGAAGAGCAAUUUUUAAUUAAGCAACUUUCGUCUUUGCAAGAGAAUUACCUGAUAACAGGAAAGAAUUCUAAGCAAUUACUUGGUAAGCCUUUGAAAGGAUGAGAAUUAAAGCAAGCUAAAAUGAAAGAAAUAAAACAUUGACAAUGCA